UGGGGAAUCUUGCGCAAUGGGGGAAACCCUGACGCAGCGACGCCGCGUGCGGGAUGAAGGCCUUCGGGUUGUAAACCGCUUUCAGCAGGGACGAGGCCUUAUGGUGACGGUACCUGCAGAAGAAGCUCCGGCUAAAUACGUGCCAGCAGCCGCGGUAAUACGUAGGGGGCGAGCGUUGUCCGGAAUUACUGGGCGUAAAGGGUUCGCAGGCGGCAUGGCAAGUCCGAUGUAAAAGGCGAAGGCUCAACCUUCGUAAGCAUCGGAAACUGUCAAGCUUGAGUGAAGGAGAGGCAAGUGGAAUUCCUAGUGUAGCGGUGGAAUGCGUAGAUAUUAGGAGGAAUACCGGUGGCGAAAGCGACUUUCUGGACUUGAACUGACGCUGAGGCACGAAAGCGUGGGGAGCAAACAGG
rnacentral:rRNA from 1 species